rnacentral:rRNA from 1 species
GCCCAGACUCCUACGGGAGGCAGCAGUGGGGAAUAUUGCACAAUGGGGGAAACCCUGAUGCAACGACGCCGCGUGAGCGAUGAAGUAUUUCGGUAUGUAAAGCUCUAUCAGCAGGGAAGAAGAUGACGGUACCUGACUAAGAAGCCCUGGCUAACUACGUGCCAGCAGCCGCGGUAAUACGUAGGGGGCAAGCGUUAUCCGGAUUUACUGGGUGUAAAGGGAGCGUAGACGGCGAUGCAAGCCAGAUGUGAAAGCCCGGGGCUCAACCCCGGGACUGCAUUUGGAACUGUGUGGCUGGAGUGUCGGAGAGGCAGGCGGAAUUCCUAGUGUAGCGGUGAAAUGCGUAGAUAUUAGGAGGAACACCGGUGGCGAAGGCGGCCUGCUGGACUGCAACUGACGUUGAGGCCCGAAAGCGUGGGGAGCAAACAGGAUUAGAUACCCGGGUAAA